rnacentral:rRNA from 1 species
UGGGGAAUUUUGGACAAUGGGGGAAACCCUGAUCCAGCCAUCCCGCGUGUGCGAUGAAGGCCUUCGGGUUGUAAAGCACUUUUGGCAGGAAAGAAACGUCAUGGGUUAAUACCCCGUGAAACUGACGGUACCUGCAGAAUAAGCACCGGCUAACUACGUGCCAGCAGCCGCGGUAAUACGUAGGGUGCAAGCGUUAAUCGGAAUUACUGGGCGUAAAGCGUGCGCAGGCGGUUCGGAAAGAAAGAUGUGAAAUCCCAGAGCUCAACUUUGGAACUGCAUUUUUAACUACCGGGCUAGGGGGUGUCAGAGGGAGGUGGAAUUCCGCGUGUAGCAGUGAAAUGCGUAGGUAUGGGGAGGAACACCGAUGGCGAAGGCAGCCUCCUGGGAUAACACUGACGCUUAUGCACGAAAGCGUGGGGAGCAAACAGG